rnacentral:lncRNA from 1 species
UUUAGAGCGUGUGAUCUGCCAGCUCAUUUAAUGAGCUCAGAUCUAACGCUCCACAUUUUUUUGCAUUUUUAUUUUCUAGUUUUAAUUUCUUUAAUUCCAAUUAUUUUCAAAAAUUAAUAUCUCUCUCAUUUUUAAUCCAAAAAUCAUGGGACCAAUUGCAUUAUUUCCCAAAUAAAUUCUAGUUUCUAUUUCUGAUUUUUUAUUU